CGCGCCGCGCGGGCGGCGCCCACCGCGCGGCUGCUGGCCGCGCCGGUCGGGCCGGCGCUCGUCGAGCGGCUGUUCGACGCCGGCCGGUACGC
rnacentral:tRNA from 1 species